UCCCCGGUAGCUCAGUUGGUAGAGCAAACGACUGUUAAUCGUUCGGUCGCUGGUUCGAGUCCGGCCCGGGGAGCCA
rnacentral:tRNA from 1 species